rnacentral:lncRNA from 1 species
AGACACUCUUGGCAAUGUCCCAGGGCCUGUUUCCAGUGUAAAAGCGUUUCUUGCAGUCUGUGUUCACGGAACAAAUCUCAUAAAUGAUCUUAAAACAACAGAAGGGUUAAUUCACUAGAAGAGACACAAAAUCAAUCCAUCCCCAUCAACACUAGCAGCCCCACAUUAUCCCCAAAGCAGCACCCUGCUGGCCCUGAAGGGACACCCCGCUCUCUGCUCGGAUGGAGGGAGUGAUAGUGGAAUUUGGAGGAGUCCUGAGCGUCCGGGAGAAACGGAGGCGGGUCCAAGAGAGACUCGUUCACCGAAAAUAAACCUGCACGAGGGGGGAAAUGACUUCGAGGGAGGAGAAAGCAGAAGAGAAGGGGGAAACAUACGGGAGAGCGGAGAGAGAGAGAGAGAAGGGGGAGUGCCUGCGUUCGCAGCGGAUUAAAAACUGCGCAUCUCCUGCUCACAUCAAACUCGUGAGUGGACACGAGGGGCUCGCGCCGUGGCACCACAUCCUCGCCUGGCCGAGACCGCAUCAUCAUAUUUGCAGACCACAGAGAAGUCGGGAGAUGCGCGCGUGCAUUUUUUUGGGGGAGAAGACUCUGGAACAAUUUUGCGCGCUGAUGUUUGUGUCACAUCAUCUCCUCUUACAAUGGCUUCAUAACGCAGCUGCGCCGACAUUUUACAGCGUGCGAUUCAAAUGUGCUCGUCAUGUGUGACAUGAUGAAGGUGCUGGAGGAUCGCGCGCUGCGACGUUCAUUCACCGCGCGAGGAAAGAGAAACUACGCAGUUGCUUAUUUAGCUCGCAUUUUUACCAUGAGGACAUGCGAGGAGAAGAAGCCACCUCCCAGUUUGACCCUCCGCGCAUUAGCAGAGUUUGAGAUGUGGUUGGCCAGCAUGAGAAUCUCUCUGGAGGAGUCUGUAAACCGCAGGUCCAGUGAAACGGCCACAGGACCUUCUGUCAUCCACCGGAGGAGGAGGAUCCAGACGCAGGUGGCUGGAUGUUACCUGUGCCCGAGUGGAUGGACAGGACCGAGAGCAGGAACACAUAAUGCAGCCCUCUCUCUCUAUCUCUCUCUCCGCUCCUCCUCCCAGGCUCACUCUCUGCUCCGGAAAGAAAGAGUAGGAGAUGGCAGGAGAGAGAGAGACGGAGAGAAUGCGACAGGAAGAGGAAGAGUAGAGAGAGAAGAGGUUCACAGGUGA